GUUGCUGGGAGUGGAACUCUUCGCCUCAACUUGUCCCAUUUCUUCCCCCCUUUCUAUUUCAUCCAUCUAUAAAACCUGGAAGACAGAUAUAUCUUCUUUUGAUCUCUUCAUUUCCAUUUGUCUUUCCUGCAAAAAAUCUCUCUCUGAAAGGCUGAAACUUUCCGCACCCAUCUCUAAAUCCUCUCUGCUCAACACAACUUUCCAAUCAGAAGCAUGGGAUUUGAUAAAGAGGCAAGCUCGUCCUCUCAUGUGCUUCAUGUACCAUCCUUUCCAAGAGAAGACACCCCACUUCUAGGCAAGAAAACCCCACUUUCCUCUACGUUCAAGACCUUUGCCAACGUCUUCAUAGCCAUAGUAGGAGCGGGUGUUCUUGGCCUCCCUUACACCUUCAAGAAAACAGGAUGGCUAAUGGGUUCUCUCAUGCUCUUCUCUAUUGCUUUCCUUACCU
rnacentral:misc_RNA from 1 species